UACGUAGGGAGCAAGCGUUGUCCGGAAUCAUUGGGCGUAAAGCGCGCGUAGGCGGCCCUGGAAGUCCGCUGUGAAAGUCAAAGGCUCAACCUUUGAAAGCCGGUGGAUACUGCAGGGCUAGAGUCCGGAAGAGGCGAGUGGAAUUCCUGGUGUAGCGGUGGAAUGCGCAGAUAUCAGGAGGAACACCAAUAGCGAAGGCAGCUCGCUGGGACGGUACUGACGCUAAGGCGCGAAAGCGUGGGGAGCGAACAGG
rnacentral:rRNA from 1 species